rnacentral:sRNA from 1 species
GCCAGCGGCUUGGUUUUGCAUAUAUUUAUUUGACCUUUCUACCUGCUGCUGGAACCAAGGAGAGCAAACACGCAGGCAAGCCUCGAACGCCGCCCGGUCUCAGCCAUCUGCACGCCUGGCCCACAGAAAUCAUGUUUCGUUUCCCCCGCUCAUAGUGUGGGUAGAUAAGAUAGACUAUUGGCUGCUAUAUUUAAAGAUGGGCGGGAAUGAGUUUAGACGAGAGAAAGAGACUAAAAAGAAAAAAAUUAAAUUGAAUUAAAUCAAUAAAUAAAAAAAGAGGAAAAGCAAAAAUCUGCUGGGUUGGCACGGAAUGCAGCGAGCCCCGUCC